UUUAGAGUUGGUUUGUGUUGAUUUAUGAUUAACAACGGAAAAUGCAUUACUUCAACAAAUUGUAAAAGUGGAUGAAAGCACUGAAGAAAAACGAUAACGAUAUGAGAGAACUACUUUGGCAGAAUAUUACUAUCGUAGUUUUGCAUCAAAUUAUUGUAUAAUAUUAUUUUUUUGUUGCUUAAAAAUAUUAUGAAAUU